AACUCAUUUGCUAGUCGGUGACAUAAGAGAAAUCGGGGUCCGGGCGCGUUGCGUCUCCAUGAAAGCCCCAUAAACACCGCCACACACCAGAGCAGGGCACAAACACGCGUUAAAAUAACCGAGGGAGCGAGGCUUAGGACGUGCAAAGCGGGGCGGCUUGGGCUGGGCUUUUUUGCGUUUUUUGUUCCCCCCCUAAGGCAGAAAAAGACAGGAAAGGGGGGGAAAAACCCAACAACAAACCAAAAACAACCAGCCAACAUACCAAUAAAAAUGCAGAAGGAAGAGAGGCAGAUAAAAUCGCAGGCAGGCAGAAGGGAGGAAAGAACCGUUCAGAAUUAGACUCGACUCAUAUUCCUGGUUUGAUUUGAUUUUGAUUUUGAUUUUUUGCGUGCAAGUUUCUUGCUUAAAACAAAACAACCAAAAAAGCCCAGGAUCCUGCGACAUCGGAGUCUCUUUUUUGUGUGUGUUGUCGGGUUGUUUGGGUUUUUUUGCACAAUCAUCUUUUUUUUUUUUUAAAUGUAUGUAUUUCUAUCUCUUGUUGGCUCUCGUGCUUAAAGGGAUUUGUUGUUGAGGAGAAAAGAAGCUGUUUUGUUUUUUGUUCUUGAUAGAUAUGGUUUAUUUUUCCCCCCCUUUUUUGGGUGUUGCUUUUUAAUGGGAGGAAUAUACUUGGAAAAAACCCCCCGCACUCGGAGGAUUAUAUUUUCUUUUUCUUUUUUUUUUGUUGCUCUUUCUCCCUUUCCAGGACUCUUUUUAAGUGGUGGGUUAAUUCUUUGUAGCUGCUGUCUGGUUGCAAAGGACAUGGUAAAGCGUCUGUCGUGCCAUAGCUGCGAUGUACAGUAUGUCUUAUCUAUGAUUGUAUGCAAAAUAGAUGUUUGAUUUUCCUUGUAAGUAGGAGACUUCUGAUUUUGAGUCGCUGGAGCCCAUGUUUAGUUCAGAGCUCUUGGGAGGGAGCUGCAAAGGCCUGCUUUGGCCAUUGGAGGAAGCUUCAGGCAGCAGGGAAAAUGUAAAGACGGUCUUACAAAUAGAUCUGCGGGUGUGUGGCAGGGGGAGGAGGGAGGGAGAGUGACAAAGUGUUAUUCUAAUGACCCUUUAUGUAAAUAUCUGUGUUAAAAAAGCAAAUGAAUUGCAUAUUUACUUGUGCCGCGUAUUCACUCAGGCCUGGCUCGGGUGGGUGUGUUUUAAAAGAUCUCAGCAGAUUUCUGUUUCAAUUUGCAUGUAUUAUUAUUAUUUUUCCCCCCGCCUGAAUGUCCGGGGGGUAAAAGGAUUUCAAAUUCCUCUUCUGCAUGACAGAGAGGAUAGGGGUGGGGGGAAGGCUUGUGCCUCCGAUAGCAUUUCAGGUUUAUUCCAAUUAAUAGAAAUUAGUUUACAAGAAUCACCACCGCAGGGUCACCGUGCCCUAGCUCCGGCUAAUCAAAUUGCUUAGAGCAACUGAUUAAAUUACCAAGAAUUCCAAGAAAUCUGCAGCCUAAAUGCAAAGUUAUUGAACAUUUCCUGAGGGUUGUUUUUUUUUUUUUAAUUUCUCAGCAAAGUGCCCGGACUGAAAUACUCAGCACUGUCUUAAAACAAAAUAGGAGGAAAGCCUUGUAACCGAUAGCCCGCAUCUGUCAUUAAAAAUAGCCCAGUAAGGAGUAGGAAUCAGGCUAAGAUGAUACUUGAGAUGAUGCAGACGAGCUUUAAAGACGUUUCCCUUUGUAGUUGGAAAGUAAUAUAUAUAAUUCAGAGUGAGCAUAGCUUUUACUUAUUAGACUCUAAGCUCUCGGGGACAUAGAAAGCUUGUUUAUCCACUUUAGCAAAAUUAUUGGUGUCAUAUAAGUGGACUCAGUAACAAAUAAUACAAGAAGUAUAAUGCCAAGCUAGCUUUUAUUUUUUUAGCGUGCCUUUAUUAAUUCAUUUUUUUAAAGAUCCCCUUCCUGCUCCCCCCUUUGGACAGCCUGAGUCUUCUACGGUGGCUGCAUCAAUUGAGCGGCUGAAGGCAAUGUUUGCAGAAAGUUGGGAAGCGGAGAAGAUUUUUUUGUCCGAUUGAUGAUUUAUCAGGACGGCUGUUAAAAUUGGCACCUCACUGAGCAGAGAUCUUGCCCUCUGCAGUUCUCCACGGGGCUUGGUCCUAUACUGUUCGAGGACAAGAACGAACCUUGCUUUCUACGGACUUGUUCAGUCCUUUGGGCUACGUCAUCUGGGGUUUAAAAUCUUACAGGUCGGGUCUCAGACGAAGUCUAGGUAGCCAAAGAACUGUGCGUAUCUUCUGAGCAAUACUGGUUUUAAAUAAACCUCUGUUUAAAAAUGACUAUUUGUUAUGUUGUUGUAAUUAGCUCCUUCAGGAAGUCAAUGCUGCUCAUUCCCUAGAUAGCCAGCUAGUGCAUAAUAAUGGCUUUAUGUAUAAUAAAUACAGACAUACAGAAAUAAACAGCCCCCAGGAUCUUUUUUUUUUUUUUUAAGUGGCAAGGGCAGAAAAUUCACCUUUAAGAAAAGCCGUUUCCUAUACAACUCCUUGCUCACAGCAGUUAAAGAUGGAUUAUCAGCCAAGCCCUGGAGCACCUGCCUUUUUAAGAGCUUUGGGCUGGAUCAUAAAUGUUAUUUCAAGGCAGUUUUGUGCAUGUAAACUUAUAUAAUAAGGUGGGAUUGCACACUGCUCAGGGACAGUGUAUUCCCUGGCUCGCUCGUGUUAUCUUGUUUUCUCAUCUAACCUACUUUUUUUUGUCAGAGGCUGGUGCUUUGCAGAAACCUGUUUUCAGUGCAAUCUCUGAGCCCUUUUGUGGGUGUCUGAUUUCUGUAACACGGUUUGGUUUCCAGUAUGAAUGUAACGUGCAGAGAAUAUCAUGACGCUGCUCUAGGUGUAUGUGAUCUUAUCUACCUGACAUUUAGUUUUUAACCGUCCAUUCACUCGAUUUGCAUAAAAUCACAUGAUCGCGACUUCAUUUUUUUUUUUUUGCAUCAUCAUAACAAAGUAGUCGAGUUUACCACUCUGCAUUUGCCUGCUGUCUGUGCAUGCGUGCCUGUUCCUCCUAGUUCGUCUCUCUUUUUGCACCGAGGCUAGAAGUUGGAGGUAGAUGAUAAGCUAGCACUCUUAAAGGGCUAAAGGUGGUGGCCCGGAGCUGAGAUCCUUAGCGAACAGACGUGUCAUGAUUGAACUUCACCGAGCAAGCAGCCUCAACACCCUGCUUUCAUCCCACGCUAGUUUUACUUGAGUCUCUUAAAUAUUUGAAAUCUCUGUAUUUUUUUUAUUGCAAAGGGCAGGCCACAAAGCAGCCUUCCUGCUCCCAGAAGCUUUGCCUUGCAACCAGCUUCCAGGAGCUAAAUAAAUGGCCCCCCCAUUGCUGCUGCUUUUUCCUUUCAGGUCCUUGCAUACAGAACAAUAUUUUCCCUUUGGUGCCAGGAGAAGAGGCAGCUGGGCUUAGAGAAGAACAAGGGAGGAAGACCCAAAUGCUUGUUAGCUCCAGUGAGGAAGGCGGGGGGUAUUGUUAUGUUCAUUAUCAUUAUUAUUUUGAACUUUAAUUGGAAUGUUUGUGAUCUGGCUGGGUCCUUACCUCUGGUGAAAGGGCUGGAAGUGGAAAAACUUGAUUGGCAUGCCGGGGCCUGGCUCUUAUACCGCCCUCGGUACACCUGACCGCACUGAACCAGCUCUGAAGGCAGCCUGCUUCGUCUCACUCAGAGCCCAAGAAUGUGCAUUGGGACAGCACGGGUACUUUUCCAUUCGUGGGCUCACGGUGGAGAGUGCUUCUGGUUUAAGUUCUCCUUCCUGCAGAAACCUGUCAACAGUGUGAGAUGCCAACCAGCAUCCCCCUGUUCCCUGGGACGCAGCUGCUGGGUGCACACUGGAGAGGCUGCCCUUCCAGCUGGAAGAAGGGAUGGAUGGCGAGACAGAGGGAAAGGUGGACGGACAGAUAGAUCAGUGGCUAAGAAUCUCCCUUGACUUCCACACUGGAGGUGAUAUUCACUCAGGCACCCAAAUACAAGCAACUCUGGAGCGGUGUUACCGGUUUCACAUGUGUAAUACACCCAGACACACACAGGCGCCCCUAUAUUUUCACAUGUCAAGGUGGGGGGCACUUAAAAUGGGAUCAUGCAGGUUUGGGAUUGCUAUUUUCAAUCCAAAGGAUAGUCUCAGUGCCAUUGAAACACACACAGGAUAUUUUCAAUGCCAUUGCUUAAGGACUCCAGGUACCCAGAACUGGGUCACAUAACAGGGCUGGCUCACAUCUGGCGACGGGAUCAUCACGCUGAGUGAAACAGAGAUAUUAUAGACAUAUUCUUGUGCAAUUGUCAUUAUUGACAAAUCCACCUUCCCACCCUUGCCGGGAGAGUGACGGUGAGAACUUGUGUGUCAGAAAUGAUUUUCUCAGCAUAAGUGUGGGAGGAGGAUUGUUGCCACUUUUUUUUCCCUGUCUGUCUAUCUGCCUGUCUGAUCUGCAAACACUUACUAUCUGGCAUAAUAAAUAUUAUCUGUAUAUACAAACUAAUAUGCAAGGCUUCUGAUUGCUCCCCACUCUGUGACACUGAACAUCACAAUGUUGUGCCCUAUGUACACGAUCUUUGGUAUGAAAAAAACGGGGAUAAACUUCAGACCUAGAUUCUAGUAGGCAUCCAGCCAGUCGCAGAUAAUUAUCCUCCUCCCUUUUCACCCCCAAUCAAUUUUUAACCAAUUACAGACCAAAGUCUGUGAUUAUGUGUGUGUGUAUGUGUGUGAGACAAGCUUGUAGAAAAACGUAGUGGCUCACAUGCAGCGAGAGACGUUUGCAAUGGCCAUAUGCUAUUGAUAUGUAACAGCGGUUCUUAACCUUUUUUUUGGGUGCGGGGUAUCUCUUUUGAGGCUAGUUAAAUUAAUUUGUCUGUGCCCUUCAGAUUUUUCAUGUGACGGAUAAUAAAGAACUAACAUUUCAUGUCCCUUCAGCCACACUGUUACCUUUCCAACCACCUAAGAAAUAUUGAAGAGUUGCUCUUCAAGAUUUUCUUUAUUCUGCCUUUAGCUUAUCCCUUUUCUUUCUUUUGCUUUCCUAUGCCUUCCUCUCACGUACGCUCUAGAAGAUGAACACAUAGCCCUGGGAGCAUUAUGUACCCCUGCUUGAGAAAUACAAACUCCAACACCUUCAAAUGCAAACCCAGAUUUCAUCCUCCCUAUUUUGUGCCUGCUCUCCUAUCUAUAAAAUGUGUAGAGGUAUCCUAAAAGACAUAAGAAAUGCAUAAAUACUUAAAAGACAGACCUAGAUACGUCUAUAUACACCUACAUGAAUGCAUGCAUGCUUACACGUACAUAAAUGUAUUUUUGAACUUGUCCAUUUGUUACAUUUGAAAAUAUGAAAUAUGUGGCUGGUGAGAGUGCAAAGCUCCACGUAUUCAAGUAAGUGGUGCUAAAAUUGGCUGUUUUGGUUUUUUUUUAAGCAUGUAUCUCAACUUCCACCUGAUGAGGUUAAAAGAAAAUGUCAAAAACCUCAGUAACCCCAGAAGAUAUAUUCCUGAUAAGAAAAAUGCUGAGAUGGUUCAAGUCUCUAAUAACAAAUGGUGGCCUUGCCAGAAAAAGUGAAUAAAUCAAAGGCAGUCCUUAAUUCAGAUUACUUAUUAGCCUUCUUUUUCUCUAUUCCAGCUCUGCCCGAAACCUCACAGGUCCAUGCUACUAAAUGUCAGAAGUGGAAAACUUUUUGAUCCCAGAAGGAAAACUUUGGGAGUUAAAAGUUGAAGCCUGUUUCCUGCAGAAACAAAGGGCCUGAUUCUGAGCUUGUGGCGAUAAAAAGGGAGACUCCCAUUAAAUUCCAGGGGCUUGGAUGGGGCCCGGAUUUCUUUUUUUAAACUCAUAUUAUUUUUCAGUUAUUUUUUAUAUAACUUGUUGGACAUCUGUGCCGAGUUAGCAUUAUCUGCCUUUCAUUUCCUUCCUCCAAAUAAAAUAUCGAUGCUUA